rnacentral:lncRNA from 1 species
UCAGGGUCCCUUUCCAAGAGACCAACCCUCUCUACAGUCAGUCUGAUUCUUCCAAUAACAAUGAACAUGAUCAAGAUAAUUCUUCACAGUGAUGCCUGGAGUUCCAUCACCAAGCUCCUACCUCCUAAGGAUUCCAUUGCCCAUGAGAAAAGGACCACAAUUUGGAAAUAAUCAUUUGAUACAUGGCCUUAUAGGGGACAUUACAGAACAAAACCACGUCGGGACGUAGCAGAUGAGCAGCUGAAGAAGCAAGUUAUCAUUCUGACUCAAAGUUAUCAUUAUGGUCCUUGCUAUCAAGAGAAGGGAAAGUUGUUGCUACAGAUGGAUACAAGGAAGAUUGUCUAGCAUUCAUGGAAUUUUGUCAGAUUCCCUUCGAGUGAAGAGAAGCUCUACCUGACCAGGGCACAGUAAUAUUGGAUUGGAUCUCAGGAAUGGGAAUGUGGGUCACUCUACCAGUUUACGGAACAAUGGAAUGCCUACCUGGAAGUACUAGCUGGAGGUCACCACCCUGGAUGCUUUUAAUUUGCACCUGGCUUACUUCUGACAAGGUGGCUCCAACGUAUAAUUUUAUUUUUCAAGAUACUUUUUGAAAUGUCCUCAAAUUAUAAAAACCAAAGAAAAGAAGAAAGGAAAAAAGAAAGAGAGAGAGAGAGAGAGAGAGAGAGAGAGAGAGAGAGAGAGGAAGAAAGAAAGUAGACAUGUGAGGAGCACAGCCAGAGUCAGAGACACUGCAAAGCAAGUUGUUUAAAUAAAGAUCCAUCUGAACACUUAAGAGAAUUUUUACUUUGUGGAAUA